rfam:Tupaia chinensis contig79828, whole genome shotgun sequence.
GUGCUUGCUUGAGCAGCACAUAUACUAAAUUGGAAUGAUACAGAGAAGAUUAGCAUGGCCCCUGCACAAGGAUGACAUGCAAAUUUCUCAAGUGUUUCAAAUUUUA